CCUACGGGUGGCAGCAGUGAGGAAUAUUGGUCAAUGGGCUCGAGCCUGAACCAGCCAAGUAGCGUGAAGGAUGACUGCCCUACGGGUUGUAAACUUCUUUUAUAAAGGAAUAAAGUGAGGCACGUGUGCCUUUUUGUAUGUACUUUAUGAAUAAGGAUCGGCUAACUCCGGUCCAGCAGCCGCGGUAAUACGGAGGAUACGAGCGUUAUCCGGAUUUAUUGGGUUUAAAGGGUGCGUAGGCGGAAUGCCAAGUCAGCGGUAAAAUCGCGGGGCUCAACCUCGCUCCGCCGUUGAAACUGGCGUUCUUGAGUGGGCGAGAGGUAUGCGGAAUGCGUGGUGUAGCAGUGAAAUGCUUAGAUAUCACGAAGAACUCCGAUUGCGAAGGCAGUUCACUGGACUGCAACUGACACUGAGGCUCGAAAGUGUGGGUAUCAAACAGGAUUAGAUACCCCAGUAGUC
rnacentral:rRNA from 1 species